rnacentral:rRNA from 1 species
GAUGAACGCUGGCGGCGUGCUUAACACAUGCAAGUCGAACGAAGCACUUUAUUUGAUUUCCUUCGGGACUGAUUAUUUUGUGACUGAGUGGCGGACGGGUGAGUAACGCGUGGGUAACCUGCCUUGUACAGGGGGAUAACAGUUGGAAACGGCUGCUAAUACCGCAUAAGCGCACGGCAUCGCAUGAUGCAGUGUGAAAAACUCCGGUGGUAUAAGAUGGACCCGCGUUGGAUUAGCUAGUUGGGGAGGUCACGGCCCACCAAGGCGACGAUCCAUAGCCGAGAUGGGAGGGUGACCGGCCACAUUGGGACUGGGACACGGACCGAACUCCUACGGAAGGCAGCAGUGGGGAAUAUUGCACAAUGGGCGAAAGCCUGAUGCAGCGACGCCGCGUGAGCGAAGAAGUAUUGCAGUAUGUAAAGCUCUAUCAGCAGGGAAGAUAAUGACGGUACCUGACUAAGAAGCACCGGCUAAAUACGUG